rnacentral:rRNA from 1 species
CCGGAGGAAGGUGGGGAGUGACGUCAAGUCCUCAUGGCCUUUAUGACCAGGGCUACACACGUACUACAAUGGCCGAUACAAAGGGCAGCGACACUGCGAGGUGAAGCCAAUCCCGUAAAAUACGGUCUCAGUCCGGAUUAGAGUCUGCAACUCGACUCCAUGAAGUUGGAAUCGCUAGUAAUCGUGGAUCAGCAUGCCACGGUGAAUACGUUCCCGGGCCUU